rnacentral:rRNA from 1 species
GACGAACGCUGGCGGCGUGCUUAACACAUGCAAGUCGAACGCUGAAGCCGUCUUCGGACGGUGGAUGAGUGGCGAACGGGUGAGUAACACGUGGGUAAUCUGCCCUGUACUCUGGGAUAAGCCUGGGAAACUGGGUCUAAUACCGGAUAGGACACGCUACCGCAUGGUGGUGUGUGGAAAGCUUCGGCGGUACAGGAUGAGCCCGCGGCCUAUCAGCUAGUUGGUGGGGUGAUGGCCUACCAAGGCGACGACGGGUAGCCGGCCUGAGAGGGUGACCGGCCACACUGGGACUGAGACACGGCCCAGACUCCUACGGGAGGCAGCAGUGGGGAAUAUUGCACAAUGGGCGGAAGCCUGAUGCAGCGACGCCGCGUGGGGGAUGACGGCCUUCGGGUUGUAAACCCCUUUCGCCCGGGACGAAGCGAGAGUGACGGUACCGGGAGAAGAAGCACCGGCCAACUAC